CAGCCGCCACGGUAAUACGAAGGGUGCAAGCGUUACUCGGAAUCACUGGGCGUAAAGGACGCGUAGGCGGAUUAUCAAGUCUCUUGUGAAAUCUAACGGCUUAACCGUUAAACUGCUUGGGAAUCUGAUAAUCUAGAGUAAGGGAGAGGCAGAUGGAAUUCUUGGUGUAGGGGUAAAAUCCGUAGAUAUCAAGAAGAAUACCUAUUGCGAAGGCGAUCUGCUGGAACUUAACUGACGCUAAUGCGUGAAAGCGUGGGGAGCGAACAGGAUUAGAUACCCCGGUAGUCCCUGUCUCUUAUAC
rnacentral:rRNA from 1 species